GUUUCUUCUUUGCUUUCGUUUCGUCCCUGCUCAUCUUAACCUGACUGCUGACUGGCUUCCUUACCGACCGGAAUGAUUUGAAGAAUUGAAUUGAACAAGGGGGUGCCAAUGACUCCCUUCUUUACGUGCCUUACAUCCCUGACUGCGACACUGACUUACUUGAUUGAUUCAAUCUUGUAUUUCACGAGGGCUAACUAAAUGACUAAUUGAACGGGUUCGGCAAAGAAGAAAACCCUGACUGCCGAGAAGAGACCCACCCGAAGGGGUGGGGAGGCUCCUGCUUGUUUGAAUGUCUUCUUUUUUAUCCCGCCGAGAACUGAUUGGUUUU
rnacentral:lncRNA from 1 species